UACAGGGGGGCAAGCGUUGUUCGGAAUUACUGGGCGUAAAGGGCUCGUAGGCGGCCAACUAAGUCCGACGUGAAAUCCCCAGGCUUAACCUGGGAACUGCGUCGGAUACUGGAUGGCUUGAAUUCGGGAGAGGGAUGCAGAAUUCCAGGUGUAGCGGUGAAAUGCGUAGAUAUCUGGAGGAAUACCGGUGGCGAAGGCGGCAUCCUGGACCGACACUGACGCUGUGGCGCGAAAGCUAGGGGAGCAAACGGGG
rnacentral:rRNA from 1 species